GGAUGUGAGGGCGACCUGACCACAACAUCUGUCACCCCACUGACUGCCGGGACUGAUUCAGCUGGUCUGACUGGCUAGGUGGGUGUCCCCAUCCUCCCUCAACGCUGCACGUGUGGCCCAUCGGAAGCUGCGCGCUGGGUCAAGGGGACCACCUCCCCCAAUAGAGACAGGCCAGUCUAUGGCCGAGGGUGUACAAGUAGCUAUGCUCCUUGGUUGGACCCUCCAGACAAGCCCCCAAUACCCGUGCCGUGCCAAACAGGAACGGAUCACGAUGGGAAGCGGCACAGUUUCGGGUCACAGAACUUACCGUGUCUUCGAAGUUGUCAGGAUUCAGACAAU
ensembl:misc_RNA 7SK 7SK RNA